GAUGAACGCUGGCGGCGUGCUUAACACAUGCAAGUCGAACGGUGAAAGAGAGCUUGCUCUCUGGAUCAGUGGCGAACGGGUGAGUAACACGUGAGCAAUCUGCCCCUGACUCUGGGAUAAGCGCUGGAAACGGCGUCUAAUACCGGAUACGAGCUGCGAAGGCAUCUUCAGCAGCUGGAAAGAACUUCGGUCAGGGAUGAGCUCGCGGCCUAUCAGCUUGUUGGUGAGGUAAUGGCUCACCAAGGCGUCGACGGGUAGCCGGCCUGAGAGGGUGACCGGCCACACUGGGACUGAGACACGGCCCAGACUCCUACGGGAGGCAGCAGUGGGGAAUAUUGCACAAUGGGCGCAAGCCUGAUGCAGCAACGCCGCGUGAGGGACGACGGCCUUCGGGUUGUAAACCUCCUUUAGCAGGGAAGAAGCGAAAGUGACGGUACCUGCAGAAAAAGCACCGGCUAACUACGUGCCAGCAGCCGCAGUAACAC
rnacentral:rRNA from 1 species